UAAACUGUAACCGCGUUCGCGGUAGUAGGGUGCUGUAUUCUCUUUAACUAUUUUAGUAGGGUGUUAUAUUCUGUUUAAAGAUUUUAGUCAGUUUCCAUUGUCCUGUUUAUCCAGCUAGCCUUGUAUUUCCAGUAGUUAUAAUUACUUUAGUUUAGUUUAAAGAUGAUAUUGUAAGAUAGUGAGUAGAUUUAAGUGUCUUAGAAACCUGCUUUGUUUAUCCUAGUUACUAACUUCACUCUUUUAUUAUCUGGUCAACUAUCAACAUCUCUAUUUAAUUACAGCACAAUUCAUCAUUUAUUUCAAGCGUUCCUAAUUGUGUUGUCUGUAAAGUUUACAACUCUAUGGUCACAUUUAUUUUCCUGGAAAGCACCCGUCUUAGGGGUUUUUUUGUUCUGUAAAAUAUUAUAUUGUCCUGUUGUUCACUGGUCUCAACUGUUCUGUUCAACCCCGACCUGGAGUCGAUCAUGCGAUCCUCCAGCUACAAAAUGGCGCCCAACGUGGUAUAGAGACGGUGGAUUCCUGGUGUGUUUUGUGAUCUGUGUUUUGCGAACUCUUACUUGAUUUGUGUUUGUGUUGGAAUUCUUGGAUUUUUCUGGAUUUCUGCGAAAGAGCUAUUUCUUGGAAAAUAUGGGCAUGUCUUGUACAUGUGUGGUUAAUAUAUCCAUAUUUUGAGCCCUACAACAUAAAGAACAGGUGAAGUUCUGAUUGCUUGAUGACUAUGCUGAUGAUACAUCGGUCAGGUGUUGUGACAAAAUGGUGUAACUUUACCUUGCCCUUAAUUCCUGAAAGAUCUGAACAUGAGUGUUGGGCAUUCAUGUUUGAUGUGACUCCCAUUUAAGUGUCUCAAUAUUUCAUUGUUGUGGCACCACAGAAAGUAAAUAACAAUUUCAGUGUUUUCCACAAAUUAAGUUUGUGGCAGUAUGGAUGUUGUGACUCCUUUUCUUGUAUAGUGAAAAUGGGACUCAUUGGUUUUAAUCUUUAACCCCUCACCCUGAAUUUAUAGGUUUUAAUCUUAAAUACCUAACCCUAAUCCAAAUAGAAAGUAGGAAGUUCCAUAUUCAAAAAUGGCGGGCGAUGGUAUCCUGGGCUAUCCUGACUUGGUAAAGGUUGUUCUGGCUUUAUAACUGUUGAAUGUAAGCUCAUCCGUUCUGGCUUGGUAAAGACGGUCAAAAAUAU